rnacentral:RNase_P_RNA from 1 species
AGAGCAGACCAUGCGGCCGCCCCCCGGUGACGAUUAUGAGCCACCGGUUAAUGGGGAGGAAAGUCCGAGCUCCGCAUGGGCAGGACGGCUGCUAACGGCAGCCGGGGGCAACCCCAGGGAAAGUGCAACAGAAAUCAAACCGCCGUAUAUGCGGGGCAGAUGUAGUGCCGCCCGGUGUGCGGUAAGGGUGAAACGGUGAGGUAAGAGCUCACCGCGCGCGGCGGCAACGCAGCGGGCAGGUAAACCCCGUCCGGAGAAAGGUUGAAUAGGGUUCGCAUCUCGGGCUGCCCGCCCGAUUCCCUGUCUCAGGGGAGGCGAGCCGGGUACCAACCGCAUAAGGCGGCAAGUGAUUGCUGUCUCAGAUGAAUGGCCGCACAACACAGAACUCGGCUUAUGGUCUGCUCUUAUU